AAACCACUGAUAUUCACACAAAAACGGGUGUAAAUUUAUGUAAUGCUGAUGUAAAUAUUCAGUGAUGCAUUUCUAUUUAUUGGAAUUUAAUGUUCAAAUAUCUAUUAAACGCAGUAGGUGUGUUAAAAUUGUGAAUAUUUCGAAGUGAAAAUUUGGUUCUAUUUGGAUAUAAGCUACGGACGAAAUUGGAUAUAAAAAAUAUUUGUUCAAACUUCAGGUAUUUUGCAUACGACACUAUUUGUCCGAGUCUGGAAUGAGACAAAAUGAAGGAAAAGAGUUCCGUCAGGACUCUAGCUGGAGUUGGGUUGUCGCCCUUGCUGCAUUUGCUGCUCACUUGAUUACCCAUGGUAUUGUGUAUUCAUUUGGAAUUCUGUUUCUGACAUUGCAAGACAAUUUCAAUGGAACUAAAGCAGAAAUUUCCUGGAUUCCGUCCCUCACGACGGGCACCUUGUACUUAAUUGGUCCAGCAGCAAGUAUAAUGGUCAAUCGGUAUGGUUGUCGGACGGUUACGAUUGCUGGCUCUAUCCUUGGUUGUCUUGGAUACCUAGUCAGUAUAUUCGUUCGGCAUCUAUUAUUGUUGUACAUAACGCUUGGAAUUGUUGCAGGUGUGUGUUCCCUAGUUUUAAUUACAUUUUGUGGUGAAGCAAUCUGAGUUUAAAUUUAGUAUAUACUAAAUUGUUUCUGCUCGAAUCAGAACGAUCACUCUGUAACCCUCCCACAUCCACACUAAUAACAACAACAUGUGUUUUCUUCUCACAGCUCUCUACUAAAGUCAACAUGUUUCCCUCCAACGACCCCUCUUUUAUUACAUUCUAUGUGUUUCCCUACCACAACCCUGUUCCUUCUUCUAUGUGUUUCUCAUCAGCAACCCUACUCCUAACAACACACUAUGUAUUUUCCGCACAUGGCUCCGCUUCGACGAUAGUUUACUUUCAUCUUUCCCACAACUCCUUUUUCUACUACAUUCUUUGCCACACACCCAGUUUCAACAGCAACCAUCUACGUAUUCCCCACACAACCACAAUCCUAACAACACAAAGAAUUCACCUCCCACAUCCCAACUUCUAACAACUCUCUGCGUGUCUCCAAAACACAAACCCACUUCUAACUACAAUCUACGACUUUCACUCUCACAUCCCCCGCCAACCCCACUGUUACUGCACUCUACGUAUUUCCCUUCUACAGCUUCACAUCUACUGCA